rnacentral:rRNA from 1 species
UGACUGUAGGUGAAAGCUUACAUCUCUUCGGAGCAUUUACGUAGGUGCUGCAUGGUUGUCGUCAGCUCGUGCCGUGAGGUGUCGGGUUAAGUCCCAUAACGAGCGCAACCCCUACCUUUAGUUGCCAUCAGGUUAAGCUGGGGACUCUAAAGGAACUGCCUACGCAAGUAGUGAGGAAGGCGGGGAUGACGUCAAAUCAGCACGGCCCUUACGUCCAGGGCUACACACGUGCUACAAUGGCCGAUACAGAGGGCAGCUACCUGGUGACAGGAUGCAAAUCUCCAAAGUCGGUCUCAGUUCGGAUCGGAGUCUGCAACCCGACUCCGUGAAGUUGGAUUCGCUAGUAAUCGCGCAUCAGCCAUGGCGCGGUGAAUACGUUCCCGGGCCUU